GAUGAACGCUAGCGGCAGGCUUAACACAUGCAAGUCGAGGGGCAGCAUAAACAUUGCUUGCAAUGUUUGAUGGCGACCGGCGCACGGGUGCGUAACGCGUAUGUAACCUACCUCAAACAGGGGCAUAACACUGAGAAAUUGGUACUAAUUCCCCAUAACACUUAAGGAGGCAUCUCCUUAGGUUGAAAGUUCCGGCGGUUUGAGAUGGACAUGCGUUGUAUUAGCUAGAUGGUGAGGUAACGGCUCACCAUGGCGACGAUACAUAGGGGGACUGAGAGGUUAACCCCCCACAUUGGUACUGAGACACGGACCAA
rnacentral:rRNA from 1 species